rnacentral:rRNA from 1 species
GAUGAACGCUGGCGGCGUGUCUAAUACAUGCAAGUCGAGCGAAGCGGGGACGGGUGAUUAACACGUGGAUAACCUCCUCUCAUACUGGGAUAACUUCGGGAAACCGGAUCUAAUCCGGAUCCUUAUAGCUUGUUCCGCGCUGCAUUAGCUAGUUGGUAAGGUAACGGCUUAACAAGGUAACGAUGCAUAGCCGACCUGAGAGGGGGAUCGGCCAAACUGGAACUGAGACACGGUCCAGAUUCCGACGGGAGGCAGCAGGAGGGAAUCUUCCGCAAUGGGCGAAAGCCUGACGGAGCAACGCCGCGUGAGUGAUGAAGGUCUUCGGAUCGUAAAACUCUGUUAUUAGGGAAGCGGUACCUAUUCAGAAAGCCACGGCGAACUACGUGCCAGCAGCCGCGGUAAUUC